UGGCGAACGGGUGAGUAACGCGUGAGGAACCUGCCCCAAAGAGGGGGACAACAGUUGGAAACGACUGCUAAUACCGCAUAAGCCCACGGGUCGGCAUCGACCUGAGGGAAAAGGAGCAAUCCGCUUUGAGAUGGCCUCGCGUCCGAUUAGCUAGUUGGUGAGGUAACGGCCCACCAAGGCGACGAUCGGUAGCCGGACUGAGAGGUUGAACGGCCACAUUGGGACUGAGACACGGCCCAG
rnacentral:rRNA from 1 species